rnacentral:rRNA from 1 species
UACGAAGGGGACUAGCGUUGUUCGGAAUCACUGGGCGUAAAGCGCACGUAGGCGGAUGUGUCAGUCAGGGGUGAAAUCCCGGGGCUCAACCUCGGAACUGCCUUUGAUACAGCACGUCUCGAGUCCGGAAGAGGUGGGUGGAAUUCCUAGUGUAGAGGUGAAAUUCGUAGAUAUUAGGAAAAACACGGUGGCGAAGGCGGCCCACUGGUCCGGUACUGACGCUGAGGAGCGAAAGCGUGGGGAGCGAACAGG